rnacentral:rRNA from 1 species
CGUUCCGGUCUUGUACACACCGCCCGUCACACCACGAAAGUCGGCAACACCCGAAGCCGGUGGCCUAACCCGCAAGGGAGGGAGCCGUCGAAGGUGGGGCUGGCGAUUGGGGUG